rnacentral:rRNA from 1 species
UACGUAGGUGGCAAGCGUUAUCCGGAUUUAUUGGGCGUAAAGGGAACGCAGGCGGUCUUUUAAGUCUGAUGUGAAAGCCUUCGGCUUAACCGGAGUAGUGCAUUGGAAACUGGGAGACUUGAGUGCAGAAGAGGAGAGUGGAACUCCAUGUGUAGCGGUGAAAUGCGUAGAUAUAUGGAAGAACACCAGUGGCGAAAGCGGCUCUCUGGCCUGUAACUGACACUGAGGCUCGAAAGCGUGGGGAGCAAACAGG